ACUGUGAAAAAAUCCUUCUCUCACCCUACAGAUACCUGUACGGAGAACUUGGGAGGCAUUUUUAUAAGCUCAUUGUCAAGUGAAUGUUAAAGUCCCCAUUCACUGAGAAGCAAAGGGUGAAGAAGUGAGACCCUACAUGGCUUUUUAGUGCAUUGAUGGAGCAGAGACACGUCUAUGAACAACUGCCUAUGCAAACUGAUUACUCGGCAGUAUAAUUUAUCAGUUUGUAUGAGUAAGUGAGUGCUUCUCACUAUGGAUUUAGCUUGCACUUCAAUUUAGAACUAGAAGGAAUAAGUGGAAAUCAGGAGAAAUAUUAAAGACAUUCCAGUGUCACUGAGCAUGCCGAAACCUGAAAACAUGUUCCAUUAUCUUGCUUUGGAUUUAUGGAAAUUCUGAACAGUGAUGUGAGAGUGACUACAGUUUGAAGUAUCUGUUAAAUACAGCAACAUGACAUCACAAGGAUUGUUUUGGAGUCUUCUGGAUAUGAGAACAUUAUAAAAGGUGAAAAAGUAGAACUGAAAUAUGAAGGGAGAAAAAGAGACAAACAUGGUUUCAAGUCUCACUUAGAGAAGAAGGAUUGUUUAUUUAUUUGAUGGAAAUUGGGUCAAUUGAAGACUCUGACACAGAGAAUAACGGUACCAGA
rnacentral:lncRNA from 10 species